AUUUUUAUUAUUAUUAUUAGAGAAAAGCGAGACAACGAAAUACCUCUACUUGGUAUUGUUUGUUCUUACUGGUGCUACAUCGAAUGGUGCUGCUGGUGGUGAUAGGAUUUACAUUUCGGAAUUAUUUCCCACAGAAAUACGAAGUGCCGGAUCUGGUUUUGCCACGAUUUCCGUUCGAAUCGUAGGGUUGGCAUCACCUUUCUUAAAACCAUUGGGUUUGAAUAUUCCAUGGGCUCCAGGUAUUAUAUUAGGAACUGGAUGUAUAGUUUCUGCCAUUUUACUUCAUAUAUAUCUACCAGAAACAGGAAACCUUGUUUUACCACAGAAAAUCGACGAUGUGAUUUGAUUAAGAGAUAUUGAACUGAGAGUGUAUAGCGUGUAAGAAAUGUAUUCAUUAUUGCAUUUAUAAAAUACUGAUACAUUGACAAUACCUUGCAUCAAUGCUAUAAUCUACUGCAGAAUAUAUCUACAGACUUUUGCAAACACCGUAUAAAGUAGACAAAUAUAAAUGCUUUGUCUUUAUAUUUUUCUGUCCAUGUUUAGAAGAAAUGCAAGAAAAAAAAAACAAGCAACAACAAUAAAAAAAAGCAAAAACAAAAACAAAGCAAAACAACAAACAAACAAAAUAUUUCACGUAUAGUUCAUCUUUUAAUUGUGUGUAGUUAGAACGUAAAGUGAGAAUUAUAUGUGGGAAUUCAGGCUUUUCCGCUUUUAUUAUUAAUAUGUUGCUGUUAAGGAUUGCUUUAGCCAAUUACAUAAUACAAUCUUGUAAGUCAAUCCUACUUGGAAUUACUGCAUAAUGGAGUUUAAAGAAAUGUAAUUAAAUGAGCACUUAAUUUUCGUAGAUUAUUUUUGUUAGCGAUUAUUUAUUAAUUGCAAUAGAUUUUUUAUGCUUGUAUAUAACUUCUCUAGAUGGAUAUAUCUGUCCAUGAUGACAACGGACAAGACAUUUAUAUCUGUCUAUCACACCUAAAACUUAAAGGAUACACUCUAUAGUAUAUAACAGUAUAAUGAAAAUGACGAAUAAUCGCAUCUGUAAAUACAUCAACGACUUAUUUGUGGAUGUCGAUACCAUAUAGAACAACGGUUCAACUACUUUUCCCUAUUUGAUUAUUAAUUUUUUCUGGUGGACCCCCAUAACCACAUUAUGUAUAAAAACUAGUUUUAAAGAAACUUCUUUCAAAGUUCCUAUUUUUUAAUCACACAUUCCCUUGUGUAAGUUUGCAAUAACAAUCUCUGAGAGAACAUAUUUUAGUGGCCGAAAACAUGUUGAACAAUCUAAAGCAUCAGAGAAAGAAAGCUACUUGUUUCUUGCAAUAAAUUCAACUAAAGCAAAA